ACAUCAAAGUCGUUGUAGUAUAGUGGUAAGUAUUCCCGCCUG
rnacentral:sRNA from 1 species